rnacentral:lncRNA from 1 species
AAUGCACCGAGCAACAUAGUUUCAUAUCUGGGAAAAGUGUCCAUAAUCAAACGAUUGAAUGCAUUUGGUGUGAUGUCAGAAUCAUGGUGACUCAGACAUGCUGCACUUGCUGGAGGCAGAAGGAUUGCUUGACUUAUCAGUGGUUGAAGACCUGUUUAGUGUACAGUACACAUUUCUCCCAAGAAUCCAGGCAGACUUGGACACAUUUGCAGAAGCCUGGACUCUUCAUGCACUCUCCUCAGAAGGCAGUCGAAGCUCAGAGCAGCUGUGGCACAUUGGACUGAAACACACACAAAAUAUACUAAUCUAAGAGAGAUGAGGUAUGGAGACCCUGCUGUCUUUACUCUGUCUCCACACUGCUGUUUAUGCAUUAGUCUAAGUGGAUUUUUAACUAUGUAUUUAACGGCUAAAUCAUUAGGAUAUUGAAGAGCCAAAUCUAGAUGGUGCAUAGCAGCUUCUUAUUAUGCCUGUGAAGAUUUAUAUUUGCAUUUUCAUUUAGCAGACACUUUUAUUCAAAGCGGCUUACAGAUAAGGACAGUGGAAGCAAUCAAAAUCAACAAAAGAGCAAUAAUAUAUAAGUGCUAUAACAAGUCACAGUUAGCUUAACUCAGUACACAUAGCAAGUUUUUUUUAAUUUAGCUGAAAUGUGGGGUAAAAAAAAACAAAAUCAGAGCUAUGUCCCAGUCUAGAUACGGCUCUUUGAUGUGCUGAAGAUUUAUCAGUUUAAUACAUUAUUAAAAAUCCACUUAGAUUAACACAUAAACAGCAGUGUUGUGAAAGGGUAACUAAAACAGGUUCACCAUACCUCAUAUCACUUUACGUUUGAUUAUGGACACUUUUCCCAGAUAUGAAACUAUGUUGCUUGGUGCCUCCUGAAGAAAACAUGAACCUGGCAAUCUGUACAUCCUCCAGUCCUUGGUCUCCCAUGACCCUGAUUUAAAGAAAAAAAAUAGACAAUACUUAAUAAUGUAAAAGCAGUCAUUAAAAUACCAACUAGAUAAUUAUUAGAUAAAUAAUAUUGGAUGAUAAUUUUAAGUACU